CCUUGUCAGAAGUAUCAGGAGUUGCCAGCAGCGGUCAGCAGAGGCGAGCGGAGGCAGGCAGAGGCCAGCAGAGGCCAGUAGAGGCCAGCAGAGGCAUGUAGAGGCAUGUAGAGACCAGCAGGAGCAAGCAGUAACAUAUAGUAAUCGUUAUACCUUGUC